AGGAAGAGGCCAGGAGAGAAGUCGAAGAAGGAACAAAGCUUGGAGUGGAAAAUCUGAUGGAGAAUUCAAGUGUCAGGGUCAUCUGACCAGCAUCCUGACUCCACUGGCUCACAGUGUGAGGCUGUGGAGGCUGCUGCUCUUCUCGGAACCUUUCUCUUGGGUCCUGAGACACUGGUUAGCACAAGCUGCACACAGUACUCAGCAGGGUUCCUGCUCGCUCUCGAAAGCCAUACUAUACUGCUGAAGAAAGUCGAGGCAGAAUCCUGGAGCCAGGAGUUGAUGCAGAGACCAUAGAAGAUUGCUGCUUACUGGCUUGCUCCCAGUGGCUUGUUCAGCCUGCUUUCCUAAAGAUCCCUGGAUCACCAGCUAAGGGUGGCCACACCCACAAUGACCUGGACCCCUCCUACAUCAAUCAAUAAUUAAGAAAAUGUCUUUCAGGCUUCCCCUUUCUCAUUGGAGGGAUUUUCUCAGUUGAGAUUCCCUCUUUCAGAUAACUCUACCUUGUGUAAAGUUGACGUAGGACUAGCCAGGCAAAGAGGGCUAAGAGCACCAUCUACUAUCUCAGGUGGUAUCCAGAUACCUGAAAUAUAACUGUACCAACAUACCUGGACAGGGCUUCUAAUACAGGCAAGUAAGCAAGAGUCUUCAAGUGUUGGAUGGAAGAAUUCUUUGGUGUGUCUCAGCAUGUGUGUGUGUG
ensembl:sense_intronic Gm14040 predicted gene 14040